rnacentral:ncRNA from 1 species
AAAAAGGUAGAGAAGAAGAGGAGUACGCUUAUAACCCUGAAAGAGAAAACCGUUCACCGGCUGAAAGACGGUUAAGGUAGUGUAUGCGGAAGGUAGCUUCUGAACCGGAAGGCUGAAAUUUUGUAAUUCAGUAGGCUUUCACGUGUGGCUGCGUUAUAGGCUAUAUGAGAUAUGGUAGGAUAUACCAUAUGAACAAAGGUGGUACCGCGUUAAUUCGCCCUUUGC